rnacentral:rRNA from 1 species
AUUGAACGCUGGCGGCAGGCUUAACACAUGCAAGUCGAGCGAGCGGCGGACGGGUGAGUAAUGUCUGGGAAACUGCCUGAUGGAGGGGGAUAACUACUGGACACGGUAGCUAAUACCGCAUACCAUCAGAUGUGCCCAGAUGGGAUUAGCUAGUAGGUUGGGUACUGGCUCACCUAGGCGACGAUCCCUAGCUGGUCUGAGAGGAUGACCAGCCACACUGUGACUGAGACAAGGUCCAGACGCCUACGUGAGGCAGCAGUGGAGAAUAUUGCACAAUGGGCGCAAGCCUGAUGCAGCCAUGCCGCGUGUGUGAAGAAGGCCUUCGGGUUGUAAAGCACUUUCAGCGAGGAGGCGUUACUCGAAGAAGAAGCACCGGCUAACUCCGUGCCAGCAGCCGCGGUAAGAC